rnacentral:rRNA from 1 species
GUAGUCUGCAACUCGACUACAUGAAGCUGGAAUCGCUAGUAAUCGCAGAUCAGAAUGCUGCGGUGAAUACGUUCCCGGGUCUUGUACACACCGCCCGUCACACCAUGGGAGUCGGAAAUGCCCGAAGCCGGUGACCAAACCAAUAAGGAAGGAGCCGUCGAAGGCAGGUCUGAUAACUGGGGUGAAGUCGUAACAAGGUAGC